AUCCUCCUGCCUUAGCCCCCUGAGCUGCUGGGAUCACAGGUGUGUGCCGCUGUGCCAGGCUCUGACGGUGGCUUGUCCUCACUUUGCUUUUGCCUUUCUUGGUGGCAUUGGCUUCUCUGGUCGCCCUGACCACUCAUUCAUUUCUUCAGCCAGCCAGCCAUUCCGUCAUCCAAAGACCAGAGACUCUGUUCAGCCACCUGUGUGUGAGUGACUGCCUGCUCCUCCUGUCUCCCUGUUCUCUCCUUUCUCCUAGUCUCAGUGUCACUCUGUCCCCAACUCUUCUCUCCCUCUUCUGUCAUUGUCACCUCUCGGGGUUUCUGGCUCUUUCUGUUGGGUUCCUCUCCUGCGAUCUUUUUCUGGCUCUCUGGUCUGGCUUCCCUGGCCUCCCGCCUCCUCCCAGGUCCGGAGUUUCCGCCUCU
rnacentral:lncRNA from 1 species